CUGAGGAGAGGAGGAUGUGAUGGAGG
rnacentral:piRNA from 1 species